rnacentral:misc_RNA from 1 species
UUCCUUCAAUCCAAACACAACCUAUAGUUAGAUUCCAAGAUUACCCGAGGAACAGUUGGAAGCAUAGGUUCCUUUCCCUUUAACUAUAAAAUUCGAUUCAUCUCCAUUAAUUAAUCGAACCUGUGAUUCAAUUCUUCUUGACUCUUCUUGUGCAUCUUCAUUAUCAAUUCCUUCAGCCUCUUUAUCUGACUCUCAACCUUGAGAUGCAUUACUUGAUUGAGAUGAUGCAUCUCUUGAUUCCCAUCUUGAAACCUUUUGCUCCAAAGCUUGCAUUUGGUACUUAAGAAUCUGAAUCUUAAGGUUUUCCAUGGUCUGUUUUUUCUUCGCCGGCUUUGACUUUACAAUCUGUACAAUCAUUAGGUCCUCUAGAUCUUGAUGCUCUGAUACCAAACUCAAGCUCAUGAACAUGGCAACAAGCACAACGAAAGAAAGAAAAGCAGAGAAUGAGAAUAGAGGAGAAGUUUCGAGAAUAAGUGCAGAAAUAGAGAAAGAGGAAGAAUAAAAAACAGAGAAUGAGAGACAAAAGGAAAUCAAGGAGAAAGAAUUAAGCUGGCAAAUUUUUG